rnacentral:rRNA from 1 species
UUUUGGACAAUGGGCGCAAGCCUGAUCCAGCCAUGCCGCGUGAGUGAAGAAGGCCUUCGGGUUGUAAAGCUCUUUCGGCCGGAACGAAAUCGCACGGGUUAAUAGCCUGUGUGGAUGACGGUACCGGAAGAAGAAGCACCGGCUAACUACGUGCCAGCAGCCGCGGUAAUACGUAGGGUGCGAGCGUUAAUCGGAAUUACUGGGCGUAAAGCGUGCGCAGGCGGUUUGUUAAGCCAGAUGUGAAAGCCCCGGGCUCAACCUGGGAACUGCGUUUGGUACUGGCAAGCUAGAGUGCGGUAGAGGGGGGUGGAAUUCCACGUGUAGCAGUGAAAUGCAUAGAGAUGUGGAGGAACACCGAUGGCGAAGGCAGCCCCCUGGGCCGACACUGACGCUCAGGCACGAAAGCGUGGGGAGCAAACAGG